AAUUUUUUAAAAUCAAGCAGAAAUUCUCGACCUGAAAAAUGUAAUUGACAUACUGAAGAAUGCAUCAGAUCUCUUACCAGCAGAACUGAUCAAGCAGAAGAAAGAAUUAGUGAGGUUAAAGACAGGCUAUUUGAAAAUACACAGUCAGAAAAGACAAAAUAAAAAAGAAUUAAAAACUAUAAAUCAAGAAAUAAAGUAAAAUAAAAACAAUGAAGCACACUUACUAGAUCUAGAAAAUAGCCUCAAAAGAACAAAUCUAAGCAUUACAGGAGGUAGAGAGAGAGAUCAGCAUAGAAAAUCUAUUCAAAGGGAUAGUAAGAGAGAACUUUCCAAACCUAGAGAAUGAUAUCAAUGUUCAACUGCAAGAAGGUUAUAGAACACCAAGUAGAUUUAACCCAAAGGAGACUACCUCAAAGGCACUUAAUAAUCAAACUCCCAAGAGUCAAGGAUGAAGAAAGAAUUCUGAAGGAAGAAAGAGAAAAGAAACCAAUAACAUGUAAGGAGAUCCAGUAUAUCUUGCAGCAGACUUUUCAGUGGAAACAUUAUAGGCCAAGAGAGAGUGGCAUGACAUAUUUAAAGAAUUGAAGGAAAAAAAACUUUCAUUCUAGAACAUUAUAUCCAGUGAAAAUAUUCUGAGAUCAGGAGUUUGAGAACAGCCUGACCAUCAUGGUGAAAUGCUGUGUCUAGUAAAAAUACAAAAAUUAACUAGUUAUUGUGGUGUAUGCUGUUAAUCCCAGCUACUCGGGAGGCUGAGGCAAGAGAAUCACUUGAACCCAGAAGGUGGAGGUUGCAGUGAGCUGAGAUCACGCCACUGCACUCCAGCCUGGGUGACAGAGUGAGACUGCCACAAAAACAUAAUAAUAGUAAUAAUAAAAGAAAAAGGCAAAAAUUCAAACAACAGAAACUGGGCAAAGCCCUCCACAAAAGAGGAAAUGUGAAGGAAUAGCUAAUAAAAACACGAAGAGGGUCUCAGCCUAACAGGGGGAGAUGUCACGUGACACCCACCAGACUGGCAAAAAUCCCACAACCCAAUCCAUGCAAGAGUUAGGGAGAAUGGAGAGUAGCAGGAACACCAGGCACUGCUAAGAACGGUUGUGAAAUAUAUUUUUGUUAUGCUUCUAUAUGAAAGGGUGUGUGUUGUGGGUUAUGAGAAAAAUUACAUUUCUUACCUGGGAUGAAAUUUUAAACAUUGGAAGCUAUUGACCAGAAGAAACUUGCACUUUUGUACAAAAGAAAUACCCAAGAACAUUCCUAACAAAACAGAGUCCUAAAGGCCCCAACCUGGCCAAACACUCAUCAACAGGGAAAUGAAGACAUUUCCCAUGCUCCUCUCAUAUGACCGGAGAUCAUGCAGCAAUAAAAAUGAAUCAUGUCAAUGUGGGUGGGUCUCAGGAAGAGAAUGGAGGACAAAAAUAGACAUCGAGCAGAUGCUCAGAGCCAUGCAGUGUAGGAGCAGCCACACAGGAGAAUUUCUCACAUCAAAGUUCAAAACUACAGCCAAGGCAACAGAGCAAGACCCUGUCUCAAAAAGACAAUGGAAAGUUCCAAAACUAAAUGGCAUAUUUUUUAGGGAUGUACACAUAAGUGGUGGAAGAAAUGUACUAUGAAGAAAAAUAUGGGAAUAAUAAAGACUAAAAGAGGAAUUGAUUCCCUCUGUAGGAGAAGGGAAGGGGCUAGGGCUCAGGCAGGGCCUCCGGGGAGCAUCCAAAGUUAUGUCUCUUCAGAUUCUAUUCCCUAAACUUGGUGGAGGUCCUCUGUGUCCAAUGUGUCUGUAUUCUUUAUACCUUACCCAUAUUGUACAAAUGCUUUAUUUCUAUUCAACAUUUAGAAGACAAUCAUAAACAAAAUGCAUUAAAUAGCAAGAUGGCAAAUGAACCUCAGGAAGGAACAUCAGGAACAUCCAUGAGGUUCCAUCCACGGAACCUCACCAUGGAUACGCUUGUGAUCAAGGGCCUUGUCUCCCCUCAAGACAGUCAGAGAUCAGAGGCUGCCCUCAUCAUAGCAGUGGAACAGGACCAGCUGGGACAGGGUCCUUCUGUGACACCUGCUGUGUCACCAGGCUGUGCGAAUGGACUCAGCUGCCCGAACUCACAGAAUAUCAGUAACAGCACCGAAACUUCACAGGAAAAAUGCUCCACGAACUUCAGACUUAAAAAGCAUCACUGGCUCCUGACCAGGAUUCCAGCUCCAUGAACCUCAAACUAGAACACCAGCCCGGCUUCUCUGCAGGUCUCCAGCUCCAAAACCUAAGACAUCAGUGGCAGUACAAACUCAUCCCAGGGGCUCCAGCUCCAGGACCCUCAGACUUGAACCGCAGCACCAACUCUUCCCUGGAUCUCCAUCUCCAUGACCCUCAGACUUAAACAGCAGCAGCACCAGUUCAUCUGUGAAUCUCCAGCUCCACAACCCUCCAACUAGAAACACACCAGCUCCUCCCUGGGUCUCCAGCUGCACGACCCUCAAACUACAACAUCAGCUCCUCCCCGGGUCUCUAACUCCAUGACCCUCAAACUAAAACAACACUGCUCACCCCUGGGACUCCAGAUCCACAAACCUUACACUAGAACAGAAACACCAGCUCCUCCACAGAUCUCCAGCUUUACAAUCUAAGACAUUAGUGGCAGCACCAUCUCCUCCUGGGGUCUCAAGCUCCAGGACCCUCAGACUUGAAUCGCAGCACCAGCUCUUCCCCGGAUCUCCAGCUUGACGACCUUCAGACUUAAACAACAAAAGAAUCAGCUCCUCCCUGGGUCUCCAGCACCACAACCCACAAACUAGAAGAACACCACUCCCCCAUGGAUCUCCAGAUCCAUGACCCUCACACUAGAACACCAACACCUGCUCCUCCGUGGGUCUCCAGAUCCACGAACCUCACACUGGAACACCAACACUGGCUCCUCUGCGGGUCUUCAGCUCCACAACCUAAGACAUCAGUGGCAGCAUUGGCUCCUCCCAUGGAUUCCAGCUCCAAGACCCUCACAUUUAAACUGCAAGACCACCUUCUCCCUGUAUCUCCAGCUGCACAACCCUCAAACUAGAACAUCAGCUCCUCCAAUGGUCUUCAGCUGCACGAAACUCAAACUAGAAAAACAACAGCUCCUCCCUGGGUCUCCAGCUCUGCAACCAUCAAACUAGAACACCAUCAGCUCCUCUCCAGGUCUCCAGCUCCACAGCUCUCAAAUAAGAGCAACAUCAGCUUCUCCCUGGGUCUCCAGCUGCACAACCCUCAAACUAGAAAAACACCAGCUCCUGCCUGGGUCUCCAAGCUCCAUGACCCUCAAACUCGAACAACAUCAGCUCCUCCCCACGUCUCCAGCUGCAUGACCCUCAAUCUAGAAAAACAGCAGCAAACUAAUAAAACCUCCCCGGGUGUUUCUAGUUUGAGGGUCAUGCAGCUGGACACCUGGGAAGGAGCUGAUUUUAAUCUAGUUUGAGCAUCGUGGAGCUGGACACUCAGGGAGGAGCAGAUGUUUUUCUAUUGUGAGGAUUUUGGAGCUGGAGAUCCAGGGUGGAGCAGUGUUGUUAUAGUUUGAGGUCAUCUGAGGGUCAGCUGCAUGACCCUUAAGCCAGAAAAACACCAUUUUCCCCCUGGGACUCCAGCUCCACAAACCUCACACUAAAACAGCAACACCGGCUCCUUCGCAGGUCUCCAGCUUUACAACCUAAGACAUUCGUGGCAGCACCAUCUCCUCCUGGGGUCUCAAGCUCCAGGACCCUCAGACUUGAACCGCAGCACCAGCUCUUCCCCGGAUCUCCAGCUCGAUGACCUUCAGACUUAAACAACAGAAGGAUCGACUCCUCCCUGGGUCUCCAGCACCACGACCCUCAACUAGAACACCAUGAGCUCCUCCCUGGGUCUCCAGCACCACAACCCAAAAACUAGAAGAACGUCACUCCCCCAUGGAUCUCCAGAUCCACACCCUCACACUAGAACACCAACACCGGCUCCUCUGUGGGUCUUCUGCUGCACAAUCUAAGACAUCAGUGGCAGCAUUGACUCCUCCCAUAGAUUCCAGCUCCAGGACCCUCAGAUUUGAACCACAAGACCACCUCCUUCUUGGAUCUCCAGCUGCACAACACUCAAACUAGAACAACAUCAGCUCCACCCCGGGUCUCCAGCUCCAUUACACUCAAAUUAGAACAACAUCAGCUCCUCUUUGAGUCUCCAGCUGAAAGAUCGUAAAACAAGGACAACAUCAGCUCCUUCCCGAGUCUUCAGCUGCAGGGCACUCAAACUAGAACCCUCCCCCGUCUUCAGCUGCACGACCUUCAGACUAGAACAUCAGCAACUCUCCUGGUCUCCAGCUGCAGGAUACUCAUAUUAGAAAAACGCCAGCUCCUCCCGGGUUCUACAGCUGCAUGACCCUCAAACUAAAAAACACCCGCUGCUCCCCAGGUCUCCAGCUGCAUGAACCUCAAACUAGAACAACAUCAGCUCCUCCCCGGGUCUUCAGUUGCCUGACCCUCAAACUAGAACAACAUCAGCUCCUCUCCAAGUCCCCAGAUCACGGCCCUCAAACUAGAACAUUAGCUCCUUCCCGAGUCUUCAGCUGCACCACCCUCAACCUAGAACAUCGGCUCCUCUCUGGGUCUCUAGCUGCUGGACACUCAUACUAGAAAAACACAAGCUCCUCCCAGGUUCUACUGUUGCACGACCCUCAAACUAAAAAACAACCGCUCCUCCUCAGGUCUCCAGGUGCAUGAACCUCAAACCAGAACAACAUCAGCUCAUCCCCGGGUCUUAAGCUCAUGGCCCUCAAACUAGAACAUCAGCUCCUCCCUGAGUCUUAAGCUGCACAACCCUCAAUUGAAAGCAUCAGCUCUUCUCCAGGUCUUCAGCUGCAGGACACUCACACUAGAAAAAUGCAAGCUCCUCAUGGGUUCUACAGCUGUAUGACCCUCAAACUAAAGAAACACCAGCUCCUCUCUGGGUCUCCAGCUCCAUGACCCUCAAACUAGAACCAAAUCAGCUCCUCUUUGCAUCUCCAGUCGCAUGGCUCUCAAACUAGAACAUCAGCUCCUCUCCUGGUCUCCAGCUGUAGGACACUCAUACUAGAAAAACGCCAGCUCUUCCCCGGUUCUACAGCUGCAUGAAUCUCAAACUAAAGAAACACCCGCUCCUCUCCAUGUCUCCAGCUGCAUGAACCUCAAAUCAGAACAACACCAGCUCCUCUCUGGGUCUCCAGCUCCAUGACCCUUAAACUAGAACCACAUCAGCUCCUCUCUGGGUCUCCAGCUGAAAGACCCUCAACAAGAACAACAUCAGCUCCCCUCCAAGUCUUCAGCUGCACAACCCUCAAACUAGAACAACAUCAGCUCCUCUCCAGGUCUCCAGCUGCAGGACACUCAUACUAGAAAAACACCAGCUCCUCCCGGGUUCUACAGCUGCAUGACCCUCAAACUAAAAAACACCCGCUGCUCCCCAGGUCUUCAGCUACAUGAACCUCAAUCUAGAACAAUACCUGCUCCUCUGUGGAUCUCAAGCUCCAUGAUCCUCAAACUAGAAUAACAUCAGCUCCUCUCCAGGUCUCCAGCUGCAGUAUCCUCAAACGAGAACAUCAGCUUCUCCCUGAGUCUUCAGCGGCACGACCCUCAAACUAGAACAUCAGCUCUUCUCCAGGUCUCCAGCUGCAGGACACUCAUACUAGAAAAAUACCAGCUCCCCCUGGGUUCUACAGCUGCACGGCCAUCAAACUAAAGAAACACCAGCUGCUCUCUGGGUCUCCAGCUGCAGGACCCUCAAACCAGAACAUCAGAUUCUCCCGGGUUCUGCAGCUGCCCAACCCUCAAACUAAAGAAACUCCUGCUCCUCCCAGGGUCUAUAGCUGCAUGACCCUCAAACUAAAAAACACCAGCUCCUCCCCAGAUCUCCAGCUGCAACCCUCCUAUUGCUCCUUUGUUUGUUACCCAUAUUUCUCCAACUUCUAAGAAGUUUUGUUACUACCUUGGUUCAUCAGAAAACUUCAGCACAAAUGUAUUACAUGAAUGUCUUGUAAUACACAAGUGUAUUACAUGAAUCACUGUCGAUCUGUCUUGCAGAAAGACCUGGGUAGUGAAGAUGAGAGUGAGACCUCCCACUAGUGAGUAAGGUUCUCAAAUGGGGGAAUGAAGAGAGAGGUUAAAGAUUAGCCCCCCUCUAAUCACAUAUGCUAUCUCUGAAUGUCAAUCUAUCACAACCCUUUCACGUGAACCCCUUAGAGUUGUAAGUUCUUAAAAGGGCCAGGAACUCUUUCUUCAGAGAGCUCAGUUCUUGACAUGCAAGUCUGCUGAUGCUCCUGGCCAAAUAAAGCCACUUCCUUCUUAACCCGGUGUCUGAGUGGUUUUGUCUGUGGCUAGUCCUCCUACACCACCAUGAUUCUAACUUUCCUGAGGUUUUCUCAGAAGCCACUAUGCUUCUCAUACAGUCUGCAGAACCUUCAGCCAAUUAAUCUUCUUUUCCCUAUAAACUACCCAGUCUCAGGUAUUUAAUAGCAGUGAAAGAAUGGACUAAUACUUGAUUAUUCCAGCUAAACAAAAUCAAAGUAGACACCAUGCCAUUGUUAGCAAAUUCAGGCUAAAUCACCAACCAAAAAUAUGUGUGAAUGUCUCUUGCAAUAUGUGUAAUGCAUCUUUGUGUAAUAUGCAUAUUUGAAUACAAUUUAUAUUUAUGUUUUCUGAAGAGAUAAAAUCAUUGGGAUUCUUUUACAUUCAGAAUCCAUGAAGGUCCUUGAACUAGAAGGUAUGAUUAAUUUCAAAAUAAAUUUGAAAAUUAGUUCAUAAGUCAAUGGCAAAAUUAACAUAGGUGGGAAUUAAUGUUAUAAUUUCAUAUACUGCUUUCAUAAUUUAGCAGUUUUUCAUACUGGGAAAAUUAUAAAUAAUAAUAGGAAAUAUAUUAAUAUAACAAAUUGUAUACUUCUGGCCCAAUUUCUUCUUCUUUUCUGAGAAUAUAUAAUUACUAUUUGAUAUAGAUUUUUUAUGUUAGCCAUAGACAAUCCUUAAUUGAAAAAUCAUUUAGACAAUCUCUCAAACUUUAAGUUAAUUUUCUAUGCCACAUUUUCUUAACUCAUCAAAAUAUGCAUUAUAUUGAUUUUCAAUUAAUUUAUUUUGAAAUGAAUGAAAUAAAAAUGUGAAAAAAGUUAUCCAAAAUGAAACAACAGUAUAGGAUGAUUAACAAGAUUAACAUAUUAGUCAAUAUAAAAUUCCACUGCUAUAUUGCCAUAGCUAUGGAACUGUUGUGAUAUGUUCAUUCUACUAAAUCCUAAUAUUUAAAAAAAAAAAAAAGAAAAAUGACCUCCAGUACAUAUAGAAAAUUGGUUGCUUUAGUAUGCAUUAACUAAUUUUGAAGAAAUAGCAAAGAAAUGUUCAAACUUUCUUUGUUUUAUUAAAACAAUGCUGUAUUGUGUUAGACUAUUGAAAAACAAAACGAAUAGGGACCUGUAUUCUUUGAACUGAUGAGCUUCUUGAAAAUAGAAUAAAUAACCCUGGCAUUGGACUUUUAAUAUGGUAUUGUUUAAAGGAGCACUUUUGGCUAGCAAAAUUAGAAAGGAUUUUUUAUUUUUUCAUCCUCUAUAUAUGCUGUUCCUUUCUCCAGAAGACAAGCCAAUGGUAUGUGAAAGAGCUUUAAAUUUUUCACUCAAAAUAAUCACGUAGAGAUAAAAAAGAACCGACCUUCUAUUAUAUCACCGGUCUAAGAGAAACGUGCGUUUUAACUUCACCCUCAACAGAGUAAGCUCUUGUGGCCUUAGUGCUUAUCAUGCAUUUUCAGUAGGGAAAGAAAAUCACAAUGAAGAACAAAACAUUUUCAACUUUUAAAAACUAAAAGAGGGAAAAUUUAAGGCAGAACUAAAUUAAGUAGCAAUAAAUUAGGGCUGGUUUAGUUGGUGGUUUCCAAUAAGCUCUACAGCCACUUCCUUCACCAAGUACAUGAGUGUUGCUUCAGCAAUCAUUCCUUUAAUUCAUGUCCUUUCUCUCUCUAGAAAAACUCAUAUAUUCAUUAUCCUAGGAGUAUCAGGUUUGCAAAGCUGGACCAAACUAAAGACUCUUCGAGGUGCACUUUGGCUUCUUAAAAGAGCUACCAAGAUUUUGGCUGAGGCAUGUGACUUAAAACUCAGCAGUGUCUAAAGCAUUGCUGAGCACAUGGAAGACACUCAAUAAAUACUCGUUUAAUGGAAUUGAAUUUGUAAGCACCAGAGACUCAUGCUUCCUUUUCACAUAGCUUGACACUUGGCUGCCCAGGAUCCUUGCAUGCAAGGUGGUAAGGUUACUGUGGGAAAAUUCUGUUGGCUUACUAUCCCAUUUGCUGUCUGCUCUUUCUUUG